GACGAACGCUGGCGGCGUGCUUAACACAUGCAAGUCGAACGGAAAGGCCCUGCUUUUGUGGGGUGCUCGAGUGGCGAACGGGUGAGUAACACGUGAGUAACCUGCCCUUGACUUUGGGAUAACUUCAGGAAACUGGGGCUAAUACCGGAUAGGAGCUCCUGCUGCAUGGUGGGGGUUGGAAAGUUUCGGCGGUUGGGGAUGGACUCGCGGCUUAUCAGCUUGUUGGUGGGGUAGUGGCUUACCAAGGCUUUGACGGGUAGCCGGCCUGAGAGGGUGACCGGCCACAUUGGGACUGCGAUACGGCCCAGACUCCUACGGGAGGCAGCCGUGGGGAAUAUUGCACAAUGGGCGGAAGCCUGAUGCAGCAACGCCGCGUGCGGGAUGACGGCCUUCGGGUUGUAAACCGCUUUCGCCUGUGACGAAGCGUGAGUGACGGUAAUGGGUAAAGAAGCACCGGCUAACUACGUG
rnacentral:rRNA from 1 species